rnacentral:rRNA from 1 species
UACGUAGGGUGCGAGCGUUAAUCGGAAUUACUGGGCGUAAAGCGUGCGCAGGCGGUUAUGUAAGACAGAUGUGAAAUCCCCGGGCUCAACCUGGGACCUGCAUUUGUGACUGCAUAGCUAGAGUACGGUAGAGGGGGUAGAAUUCCAAGUGUAGCGGUGAAAUGCGUAGAGAUUUGGAGGAAUACCAGUGGCGAAGGCGGCCCCCUGGCACAAUACUGACGCUGAGGUGCGAAAGCGUGGGGAGCAAACAGG